rnacentral:rRNA from 1 species
AUGCAAGUCGAACGGUAACACGGACUUCGGUCUGGUGGCGAGUGGCGAACGGGUGAGUAAUGUAUCGGAACGUGCCCAGUAGCGGGGGAUAACUACGCGAAAGCGUAGCUAAUACCGCAUACGCCCUACGGGGGAAAGCAGGGGAUCGCAAGACCUUGCACUAUUGGAGCGGCCGAUAUCGGAUUAGCUAGUUGGUGGGGUAACGGCUCACCAAGGCGACGAUCCGUAGCUGGUUUGAGAGGACGACCAGCCACACUGGGACUGAGACACGGCCCAGACUCCUACGGGAGGCAGCAGUGGGGAAUUUUGGACAAUGGGGGAAACCCUGAUCCAGCCAUCCCGCGUGUGCGAUGAAGGCCUUCGGGUUGUAAAGCACUUUUGGCAGGAAAGAAACGUCAUGGGUUAAUACCCCGUGAAACUGACGGUACCUGCAGAAUAAGCACCGGCUAACUACGUGCCAGCAGCCGCGGUAAUACGUAGGGUGCAAGCGUUAAUCGGAAUUACUGGGCGUAAAGCGUGCGCAGGCGGUUCGGAAAGAAAGAUGUGAAAUCCCAGAGCUUAACUUUGGAACUGCAUUUUUAACUACCGGGCUAGAGUGUGUCAGAGGGAGGUGGAAUUCCGCGUGUAGCAGUGAAAUGCGUAGAUAUGCGGAGGAACACCGAUGGCGAAGGCAGCCUCCUGGGAUAA